UGGGGAAUAUUGGACAAUGGGCGAAAGCCUGAUCCAGCCAUGCCGCGUGUGUGAAGAAGGUCUUCGGAUUGUAAAGCACUUUAAGUUGGGAGGAAGGGCAUUAACCUAAUACGUUAGUGUUUUGACGUUACCGACAGAAUAAGCACCGGCUAACUCUGUGCCAGCAGCCGCGGUAAUACAGAGGGUGCAAGCGUUAAUCGGAAUUACUGGGCGUAAAGCGCGCGUAGGUGGUUUGUUAAGUUGGAUGUGAAAUCCCCGGGCUCAACCUGGGAACUGCAUUCAAAACUGACUGACUAGAUUAUGGUAGAGGGUGGUGGAAUUUCCUGUGUAGCGGUGAAAUGCGUAGAUAUAGGAAGGAACACCAGUGGCGAAGGCGACCACCUGGACUAAUACUGACACUGAGGUGCGAAAGCGUGGGGAGCAAACA
rnacentral:rRNA from 1 species